rnacentral:rRNA from 1 species
AUUGAACGCUGGCGGCAUGCUUUACACAUGCAAGUCGAACGGUAACAGGUCUUCGGAUGCUGACGAGUGGCGAACGGGUGAGUAAUGCAUCGGAACGUGCCCAGUCGUGGGGGAUAACGCAGCGAAAGCUGUGCUAAUACCGCAUACGAUCUAUGGAUGAAAGCGGGGGACCGUAAGGCCUCGCGCGAUUGGAGCGGCCGAUGUCAGAUUAGGUAGUUGGUGAGGUAAAGGCUCACCAAGCCAACGAUCUGUAGCUGGUCUGAGAGGACGACCAGCCACACUGGAACUGAGACACGGUCCAGACUCCUACGGGAGGCAGCAGUGGGGAAUUUUGGACAAUGGACGCAAGUCUGAUCCAGCCAUUCCGCGUGCAGGAUGAAGGCCCUCGGGUUGUAAACUGCUUUUGUACGGAACGAAAAGGUCUCUCCUAAUACGAGGGGCUCAUGACGGUACCGUAAGAAUAAGCACCGGCUAACUACGUGCCAG